rnacentral:rRNA from 1 species
GACGAACGCUGGCGGCGUGCUUAACACAUGCAAGUCGAACGGAAAGGCCCUGCUUUUGUGGGGUGCUCGAGUGGCGAACGGGUGAGUAACACGUGAGUAACCUGCCCUUGACUUUGGGAUAACUUCAGGAAACUGGGGCUAAUACCGGAUAGGAGCUCCUGCUGCAUGGUGGGGGUUGGAAAGUUUCGGCGGUUGGGGAUGGACUCGCGGCUUAUCAGCUUGUUGGUGGGGUAGUGGCUUACCAAGGCUUUGACGGGUAGGCGGCCUGGGAGGGGGGCCGGCCACAUUGGGACUGAGGUACGGCCCAGACGCCUACGGGGGACAGCAGUGGGGAAUAUUGCACAAUGGGCGGAAGCCUGAGGCAGCAACGCCGCGUGCGGGAUGACGGCCUUCGGGUUGUAAACCGCUUUCGCCUGUGACGAAGCGUGAGUGACGGUAAUGGGUAAAGAAGCACCGGCUAACUACGUG